GACUGUGUGGCCUAACGGAUGAGGCGUCUGACUACGGAUCAGAAGGUUUGAGUCCCUUCACGGUUG
rnacentral:tRNA from 1 species